CGAUAACGAACGAGACCUCGACCUGCUAAAUAGUCUUUACAGCUCUUCGGGGCUGGGCUAUGACUUCUUAGAGGGACUAUCGGUGUCUAGCCGAUGGAAGUUCGAGGCAAUAACAGGUCUGUGAUGCCCUUAGAUGUUCUGGGCCGCACGCGCGCUACAAUGAUGCAUUCAUCAAGUUACACCUUGGCUGAGAGGCCUGGGUAAUCUUCGAAAGUGCAUCGUGAUGGGGAUAGAUGAUUGCAAUUAUUCAUCUUCAACGAGGAAUGCCUAGUAAACGCGAGUCAUCAGCUCGCAUUGAUUACGUCCCUGCCCUUUGUACACACCGCUCGUCGCUACUACCGAUUGAAUGGCUA
rnacentral:rRNA from 1 species